UUUCUUCAGCCCAACCCAAUCCUUCUAACCUGUCCCUAACCUUUCUCCCUUCUCUCAGAACAGGAAAACGCGUGCAACGCCAAAUUAGAGCUUCCUUCAGACGAGUGAACGUUGUGAGCGACGCUGCACACUCUCUUCAUCACGCGAGAUCGAAUCAACGGAAAAGCAGCAGCGGCACAAGAGAUAGUACUCAGCCCCCUUUUGUUUUCUUCUCCCCAUCGCUUUCAAGGGCAUACGAUUCCAACAGCAAACGAAUCACGCAAAACCGACCUCCUUAGCGCGAGGUCGCUCCAUGUCGGAGCAAGGACGUUUGGGAUUGAUCCCAAGCGUCCAUCUCCUUUCCAUUCGUAGCUUGGGGUCGAAAAUAUCAGAAAAGUUGUUGAUUCCAAAUUGGUGCAAGAAUUUGGAUUUUCAAAUUUUGGAAGGGAUCAAGGGUUGAUUCGACAUUUCUCAAGAAAUUGGGAACCCUAAUCUGUCCCUAUAUAUAUUCUCUUUUGCCAUUUGAAAGUGGGGGAUUUUUUUUCCUGAUUUUUGGGAGAAUAGGUUUUGGUUGGAUUUUCUUGAUAAGCAGAAGCAGAGAAGCGAAGUUGGAGAGAAACCUCUUAGCUUCACUUGUUUAUGAUUUUUGAGUAAGAAUACUAAAACAUUCAUACAAAUAGUAACAUAUAUAUACAAAGACACUUUCAAGACGGAAAGAAUCGGGUUCACAUUUGAUGUGUCUUUGAAUCCAUUUUCUGAACUCUAUCUUGAACUCUUGGUGGUGAAAUCGUUGUCGUGUCUCAGCUUGCCUUGUCCCAGACGCUGCUCGAAGAGAGUUCAUUUGGACUCCAUUCCUCCUCUUCACAUUCUUUAGUCUAGCCAUGAAGACUCAAACCUCGAUCAAAAAUAGACGUACAGGUUUCGGAGUUGGAAAGAUCCAAAAUCCAAGGAGUUGAAGGCUUGAGCUAAAAGCUCAAAUUUUACUAAGUCUUGUGUUUUGUUCUUUUGGGCCUAAGCCCUGGUCAUUUUUGUAUGUAUAAAUUUAAGGAAUCCCAUAGUGUAAUACAAUAAUUACAUUCUGUCCCGACAAAUUUAGUAUUUACUAAUAAUCCCUUAAAGUUGCUGUGGCGUGAUA